rnacentral:lncRNA from 1 species
GGGCACUGUGACCACUGUCCAGCUGUUGCAGGAAGUCGCCAGCCGGUUCAGCAAGUUGUGUUACCUCAUUGGGCAGCAUGGAGCCUCACUGAGCAGCUACCUGCAAGGCAUGAAGGAAGCCAGGAACCUGGUCAUCAUGAAGCACUCGAGUCUUUUCUUGGACAGUUACACAGAGCAAGUAUCAGUCUGAGGUCAUGUUCAGCCUCAGCAAGGGGAAUUUGCAAGGGGAACCACUCCUCAAUCACAAGAGUGGACGGGGACAGUGCCGCUAGGCAGUAGGACUGAAAAGCAGUGUUUAACCUUAGCCAGCGAUAGUUUUGCAGUGCUCAAGAUCAGUUUUCCUCCUGAAGGGGGAAAGGUUAACAAUGACAAUGAGUUCUCAUAUUCCUUUCUAUGUCCAGCAGUGAGGAAUAGCAUACUUUAUUAACACACAAUAUUCUGUCCUAAGCCUGCUUAUUUUGUUUACUUAAGUAAAUUAUACCAAAAUAUGAGGAAAUAAAGAACAAACUUAUUUACAGAGCAGCUAUGAGAUUGAAGCUGUUCUGAGCCUGCUUGUUACUGCUGUGUGAUGGGACACUCUAGCUACAUAUAACAUAACAGUGCUUUCUGAAUAGCACCAUGGAUGGUUGUCUACUCAAGGAUCUGUUCAUGUUUUGUAAGAAAAAUAUACCAAGUAUAUUUGUAAAC